rnacentral:rRNA from 1 species
UACGUAGGGUGCGAGCGUUGUCCGGAAUUAUUGGGCGUAAAGAGCUCGUAGGCGGUGUGUCACGUCGGCCGUGAAAACCUGCAGCUUAACUGUGGGCGUGCGGUCGAUACGGGCAUCACUGGAGUUCGGCAGGGGAGACUGGAAUUCCUGGUGUAGCGGUGAAAUGCGCAGAUAUCAGGAGGAACACCGGUGGCGAAGUCGGGUCUCUGGGCCGAUACUGACGCUGAGGAGCGAAAGCGUGGGGAGCAAACAGG